AGUGAUCCCACUUUAAGUUUAUUUCAUGUGAUUCUUCUUCUCAGCAUGCAGUGAACUUUCUUGGGAAAAACUUUUCUUUGCUGCCCCAGUUUACAUUAUAAAUUAAUUUACAAAUAUAGAGUUGUGCUAGAAACAAUAUUUAUAUAAGUCCAUGAUAUUUUCAUAUACAAAAAUAUCCAUAGAAACCGUUUUUUUGUACACAUACUGUGGGAGUAGGUAGUCUUUGGUUGUCUUUCUGCAUAAUGUUAAAAAAGUAAUGGUGAUGUCAUUUGUACCUCAAUAAGCUGUUUAGAAAAAUAAUUUUCUGUAUGUAUAUUUCAAAAUAAAAAAUUUUUAAAGUAAUGCUGUGAGAGUCUCGGGGUGAAAAAAUACCCAGGGAAUUUUAAAUUUUUUUACAAUGUGCUUCUGUUCCUGUUUCUAAAAAAGUUAAAACCCCAAACUAGCCAUGCUCACAUCCAAAAACGUGGUACAAAGGCAACUCAUAGGACGAUGAAUUCAUUUUUGUGGAACACCGUUCCCAUAAAUUUGACAACUACCUGCAUUUUAAUGAACACUUUUUGAAUAAAAAAUUUGUUUUUUGAGACAGGGUCUCACUUUGUCACCCAGGCUGUCAUACAGUAGCAUGAUCUCAGCUCACUGCAGCCUCAACUCCCCAGGUUCAAGUGAUCCUCCCACCUCAGCCCCCCAAGUAGCUGGCACUACAGGUGCACACCACCACACCUAGCUAAUUUUUGUUAUUUUUUGUAGAGAUGGGGUUUCACCAUGUUGCCCAGGCUGGUCUCAAACUCCUGGGCUCAAGUGCUCUGCCCGCUUAGGCUUCCCAAAGGGUUGGGAUUACAGGUUUGAGCCACUGCGCCGGCCCUGAAUAAAUUCUGUCAUUCGGCAACUAGUGGAUGAGUGUACUGGGCACUCUACUGGGCACUAGAAGGUUGCCCAUAAAAAUUAUUCAAAUGAUACCUCUGAGAAGAGAGUGCUAAAAUAAAUAAGAUUAAAUAUAUCUUUUUAAAAACUGACCACAAACGGUUUAUUGUAUUAAAAACUAUAAAAUCCCAUUUCUUCAUUGUUUUAAAAAUAUUUUGUAGACACAGAGUGUUGCUGUGCUGCUCAGUUGCAAGGUGUCUGCUGAGGCCUCUGAG
rnacentral:lncRNA from 1 species